rnacentral:SRP_RNA from 1 species
GCCUUGGAACAAGGGUAAUCUUACGAAUCGUGUCAGGUCCGGAAGGAAGCAGCACUAAGUCUGUGUUAUCUUGUGUUCCAAGUUAAU